AACGAACGCUGGCGGCAGGCCUAACACAUGCAAGUCGAGCGCUCACCUUCGGGUGGGAGCGGCGCACGGGUGAGUAACACGUGGGAACCUACCUUGAAGUACGGAAUAACUGAGGGAAACUUCAGCUAAUACCGUAUACGCCCUACGGGGGAAAGAUUUAUCGCUUCAAGACGGGGCCGCGGUGGAAUUAGCUAGUUGGUGAGGUAAUGGCUCACCAAGGCAACGAUCCAUAGCUGAUUUGAGAGAAUGAUCAGCCACACUGGGACUGAGACACGGCCCAGACUCCUACGGGAGGCAGCAGUGGGGAAUAUUGGACAAUGGGCGCAAGCCUGAUCCAGCCAUGCCGCGUGAGUGAUGAAGGCCUUCGGGUUGUAAAGCUCUUUCAGAUGGGACGAUGAUGACGGUACCAUCAGAAGAAGCCCCGGCUAACUUCGUGCCAGCCGCCGCCGUAACAC
rnacentral:rRNA from 1 species